rnacentral:rRNA from 1 species
AACGAACGCUGGCGGCACGCUUCAUACAUGCAAGUCGCGCGAUUAAGGCCCGCAAGGGCGCAUAAAGCGGCGAACGGGUGCGUAACACGUGGAUAAUCUGCCUUUCGGUGGGGGAUAACGGCUGGAAACGGCCGCUAAUACCGCAUGUGGUUGCGAGGUCUUCGGGCCUUGCAAAGAAAGAGGCCUUUAAAGCCUUGCCGAGAGAUGAGUCCGCGCCCCAUUAGCUAGUUGGCGGGAUAACAGCCCACCAAGGCUUCGAUGGGUAGCCGAGCUGAGAGGUUGAUCGGCCACACUGGGACUGAGACACGGCCCAGACACCUACGGGUGGCAGCAGUAGGGAAUAUUGGACAAUGGGGGAAACCCUGAUCCAGCGAUGCCGCGUGAAUGAUGAAGGCCUUCGGGUCGUAAAGUUCUUUUCUGAGGGAAGAACUGUUGGGCGAGGAAAUGCGCCUGAUUUGACGGUACCUCAGGAAUAAGCAACGGCUAACUCCGUG